rnacentral:lncRNA from 1 species
CACCGCGGGGCCGUGCGGACGGCCAGCACUCGACUUUGCCUAAAAAAGGAAGCAGCAGGCUGAGGCUGAGGAGCUGGCGGCAGGAACAAGGGAGAGCUGUGUCCCCGCCGGCGCCCCCCACCCCCCCUGCCGGGGAUCUUGGCAGUGGAGGUGCUGGCUGCGCUCCACAGACCUCAGACCUCGGCUGGGACCAGAAAUGCCUGGUGCUUCCGCCUGGGCCCGGUGGGGGGACUUUGGGUCCCCAGAGUGCAAGCUGUACCACUUCGAGGGGCCUCGCCAGGCCCCCCAGCCCCCAGUACACAGGGGCUGCCGUGGAGAUGACGCUGAAGGCCGCAGCCGCUGGAGGACCUGGGGUCUGACCGGAAGCUGGCUGCAGACCCUGCGGAGGCACGUCCACAGGAAAUAUUUUGCAAAUCAGGAAAUGACACCGGGCAAGGCCUCUGCUCUCCGGGGCUACGGCCUCCCACAGGCACGUUCCUACAUCCCUCUGUGAACCGCCCACAGGCCCCCCCACAGGUGUUCCUCUGUGAGCUGGUCGGGCGGCCGGGGCCGGGGCCGGGCUUCGCUGCUCCGUGCCUUCCACCUCCCUGGCGGUGCGGGGCCUCAGGGUGGGCCUGGGAAGCUGGAAACACCUUUGGAAACAGCCGCCUGAGGCAGCUGUGGACAGAAGACCCUGCCCAGCAGCCAAGGGAGCUGGCCUCUCCGCUCAGCCUCCCCACCCCCACCAGGCCCAGCUGUUGUUUUCACGGCUCCGGGACCAGGCGGAUCCUCAGCCAAGAGCUUCCCAGGAGAGCCCUCAUCUUCAACCCCUAGUGGCGACCAGAGCCAGCCCGGGCAGGAGGGGAAGGAAG